rnacentral:rRNA from 1 species
UACGUAGGCAGCGAGCGUUGUUCGGAGUUACUGGGCGUAAAGAGUGCGUAGGCGGUUUUCUAAGUUUGGUGUGAAAUCUCCCAGCUUAACUGGGAUAGGUUAUGCCAGACUGCUACUCUAGAGGACGAGAGAGGGGCGUGGAAUUCCGGGUGUAGUGGUGAAAUGCGUAGAGAUCCGGAGGAACCCCAGAGGCGAAGGCGACGCCCUGGCUCGUACCUGACGCUCAGCCACGAAAGCAUGGGGAGCGAACGGG